rnacentral:rRNA from 1 species
UACGUAGGGCGCAAGCGUUGUCCGGAAUUAUUGGGCGUAAAGAGCUCGUAGGCGGUCUGUCGCGUCUGCCGUGAAAACCCGAGGCUUAACCUCGGGCUGGCGGUGGAUACGGGCAGACUAGAGGUAGGUAGGGGAGAAUGGAAUUCCCGGUGUAGCGGUGAAAUGCGCAGAUAUCGGGAGGAACACCCGUAGCGAAGGCGGCACUCUGGGCCGGUACUGACGCUGAGGAGCGAAAGCGUGGGGAGCGAACAGG